ACUCCUACGGGAGGCAGCAGUAGGGAAUCUUCCGCAAUGGGCGAAAGCCUGACGGAGCAACGCCGCGUGAGUGAAGAAGGCCUUCGGGUUGUAAAGCACUUUCAGCGGGGAGGAAAGGGUGUAGUUUAAUACGCUAUAUCUGUGACGUUACCUACAGAAGAAGGACCGGCUAACUCCGUGCCAGCAGCCGCGGUAAUACA
rnacentral:rRNA from 1 species